rnacentral:rRNA from 1 species
GUACAUCCAGAGAACUUAGCAGAGAUGCUUUGGUGCCUUCGGGAACUCUGAGACAGGUGCUGCAUGGCUGUCGUCAGCUCGUGUUGUGAAAUGUUGGGUUAAGUCCCGNAACGAGCGCAACCCUUAUCCUUUGUUGCCAGCGGUUCGGCCGGGAACUCAAAGGAGACUGCCGGUGAUAAACCGGAGGAAGGUGGGGAUGACGUCAAGUCAUCAUGGCCCUUACGGCCAGGGCUACACACGUGCUACAAUGGCGCAUACAAAGAGAAGCGACCUCGCGAGAGCAAGCGGACCUCAUAAAGUGCGUCGUAGUCCGGAUUGGAGUCUGCAACUCGACUCCAUGAAGUCGGAAUCGCUAGUAAUCGUAGAUCAGAAUGCUACGGUGAAUACGUUCCCGGGCCUUGUACACACCGCCCGUCACACCAUGGGAGUGGGUUGCAAAAGAAGUAGGUAGCUUAACCUUCGGGAGGGCGCUUACCACUUUGUGAUUCAUGACUGGGGUGAAGUCGUAACAAGGUAAGCGUAGCGAG